CGAGGGGGCGGGGCUCCGAAUCACGUGCCGCCGGGGAGCCCGCAGCGGGCCGGGCCGGGCCCCCGCUCCUGCUCGUCCCGGCGAGCGGCGGGGCCUCGCCAGCCUCGGCUCGGCCGGACCUCCGGCUCCGCAGGGCGCAGACCGGUGGGAGCGAGUUAGCGAGUCUCCUACUUCCCUUUUUUUCCUGCUGUAACUGGAGCCUCGGCUUUGCUGUUCCUAGAAAGCAGCUCACCUGCGCGGCGCAGGACGUGUCCCUGCCGGAAGGUCUCCUCACCUGCGGGAGGGGGUAAUGAACCACAGCAAGGGCUGGCAGCCGCCUACGAGAACAGGCUCCAGGCAGGCCUGGGAAUUAGGUUACUAUUGGGGAAGGCAGCAGUGAGAGCAGCGUUACCUGGGCAGGGAGCAGCGCCAUCACUGCGGGCAAGGGGCCCCUUUUCCGUGCUUCCUGAGGCCACUGGCUGGGACAUUUAUCCUCACUCUUCCCGUUUUGCUCUGGCAUAGCCAUGCUGUGUCGAGGCGUUGCUGCAGUUGUACCUCCACGUGUAUACGGAUGUAUCCACGUGAACACCUCUGCACGGCACGCAGCACCUCUAAACCAAGCCUAACAGCCUCUGCCCCAGGGCGCAGAGUCACAGAACGCUUCAUCCGACCCAGCUGCACGCUGGAAAGAAAGAGACCCGCUGCCGCCCCUAAUCCCAGCUUUGUGUUCCUGCCUCGCUCUUUGUGGUGCUUCUUGUGGUGGUGUGACCAUGCUGGGAACGGGAUCAGAUCGCUGCUGCGAGUGAAAACCAGUUCAUCAAAAACUCGGGCUACUGGCUUCUUCACUCCUGCAAUGAUGCCUUCUAGGAUAACACUUCCCUCAUCUAACAAGAAGGAGAGUUUCACUCCUCUAGCUUCCAAAAGAGCUGCAAUCUUCUUUGCUCCCUUUCGACCAAACACCUGUGAGAAUCCAAGCGGAGGAACUGGCCAGGUUAAGCCACACCAUCAGCAAGAAUACUGGAAAAUAUCUUGCUGCUGACAGUGCCAGUGCUACAAUACAGAGAACGCAAGAAAUCCCAUAAUGAACAGCUAUAGAGCAACCCGUCAUUAGAAGGUUCUUUCUAGCAGAAUCCAGUGGUCACUGCUAACGGCCUAGAAGCAGAUGAAUUUACAUCCACCUUGAGAGAUGUUCUCAUCCAUGAGCAUCAAUGAAUCUUGUUUUGAAUCCUACUAGUUCACAGCUAUGAACUCCACAGAUUAAUUAGUCAUUUUUAAAGAGGUAUUUGUUCUUGCUAUAAACAAUUCUUUGUCUUUUUGUUAUAAAGACAACUAAACAAAACCACCUUGUCUGUCUCUUUGUACCACUCAUGAGUGCAAUCAAUAUGUAACUAUGACCAUGUGUCUGACAUGGUAUCUAUCCAUGUAAGAAACACACGAGGGACUUUCUAGAUAAACAGUGUUUAAAAAAUAAGCCUUGUUGUGUAUAUGGACAAUGCAUAUAACUAGCUGUUCAGAUGCAAUGAAAGAGAAAUACCUCUUCAUCAUGUCCAAUGCCAACAUAGAAAGAUCUGCGGGGUCUGUAGUUUCUUCUCAGCAGAAAUUCUAGAGCUUGCAGAAUACCCUGCAGAAAAAAAAAAUAUAUUCUACUAUUCUCAGGUGUCAGUAAGGAGAAUAAAAUAAUGUAAAAGAAAUACAAUGCAUUCACAGCCCUUAAGGAGACUUUGUUCCAUUUACAGCUGAGCUUUUAUUUCCACAACUCCUACUGAUGAUAUUCACAUUCUCUGGAAAACACACUGUUAUAGUCCUGAUCAAUGACGCUUAAGACUUAGUGUGCUAUACAGUAUCAGCCUACAUACAAAAGAUACAGUAUGGGCUUGUUCUUGCUACUGAGAAAGUCAAUGACAAACUGCAUAGGAAGCAUGAUGGAGUUAUAAUUAUUCAAGGACUUUACUGUUCCUUUAAACUAUCUAAACUACACCAAUUUGACUCUGACUUGAGCUACCAAAUCCAUUUAACUUAAUGAGCAGUAUGUUUUGUACAAAGUGUUAAGAAGAUAAAAACAUAAGAAUGAGAAAUGUAAUUUGAGCUCUCAAGUCUAUCCCUGAAUUCAAAGACAGCAUUUGACAUAAAAUUUAAAUAUGGCAUUUAACCAAAUACAUCUGCAUCAAUAAAUGUAUUCUUUUCUGUA